CUUAUAUGUUCCUUGCUAGAUAAGCCUAAGGGUGCGUUUGGUUCGCAUUAUAAAAGAUUACUAUAAAUAAAAGAUAUUCGAAAAUUUUAUUCCUAUUCAUCCUAUUACUAAGAAUGUGGAAUUCCUGUGUUUGGUUCGUACGGUAAUAUUAAUUAGCCAUGUUAUUUAAUAUUACAAAAAAUAUACAAUUAAUUUAUUUAUUUUUAAAUAAUGUUACCAAAAAGUUUCAACAUCUUUUUAGAAAAAAGGGAGAGAGAAUAAGUUAGAGAGAGGAGCAUAAUUAAAAAAAUAGAAAAAAAAUAUAUAAUCGAAAUUAGAGGGAGUGAGAGAGUUGAAAUUUUAAAAAGAGAGAGAGAGAGAAAGCUUAGUUUAGAGAGAGAAAAAAGAGUUAAAUUUUAGAGAAAAAAAUAAGUUUAGAGAGAGAUAUAAGGUUAGAGUGUAAAGAAAAAUAAUAUCAAUUAACCGGCGGGUAGGAAGAAAGAAAGAGAUUAGACAUAUUAUGAUUACCCUAAUCCAUUAAUAUGAGGAUAUCUUAUUCCCAAGUGAAUCUAAUAUUACCAACUAGAUUACUUAGUACGUUUAGCCAAACACCGUCAUAUUUUUUUAUUCCCAUUGGAUUAUUAGAAAUCUUUAAAAGAUAGCGCGAAUCAAACGCACCCUAAGUGGGAGAAUAUUGGACGUUG
rnacentral:lncRNA from 1 species